GUACGCCUUAGAGCAUGAUCUAGUUGUUGAAAGAUCCUAGGGAUGGGAUUUCAGCAGCCGAACUAGCUAAAUCAACCCAAAUUUUACAAAUCACCAGGGAUGGGAUUGUGAGUUUGGCCCCCUACUGUUCUGAUUCUUAAUGCAAGUUUUGAUACAUUCUUAGACCAAGGGAUUAGGUGAGGUGUGUCAAGCUUAGAUAGGCACAACAAGAGGGAUCUGAGUGUUUUUACCUUAGAGAACAGGGAAAGUAAUAUUCAUCACCUUAGGAAAGUACUAAGCGAUCUUGCAAUAAGAGGGAUCUGAGUGAGGUUAUUUAGGAAAUCCAAUUUGAUCAUUCUGCAUAUUAGAACUGUUGUUUGGUUGGUGUGCUCACGUUCUGCAAUUUUUGUUAUUUUUCCUUGUCUCUUUGUCUGUGUUUUUCCUUCUUCUUUCAUAUUUCUCUAUAUGUUACUUUUAUUUUUAUCUUUAUGUUUUAGUUUUUGUAAGAAAUUGUUGAA
rnacentral:lncRNA from 1 species